UAUAGCUGGUCCCUGCAGGCUUUUUAAUGUAAACACACACCGUGUGCAGCACUGGCGUUAGUUCAUAUGGGUGGGGCAUUGUGAUGUCACAUGGGGGGGCAGCAAAUUUUUAUUUUGUCUAGGGCGGCAAAAAUCCUUGCACCGGCUCUGAUCCUGGGCAGGUGCACCAGUCUACUUGACUGGUUUUGCCCCCCAGGCCUAAGGCUGCCAGCCCUCCCCUGGCCGCUGGGGAGGUCUUUUUGCGGCCGCUGGCGGACUUGUCCUGGCGGCCGCUGAGGCAGCUGCGCGAGCUGCGCUGGCUCUGCUCCCCAGCAGGCAGCUGAAUGAGACCGGCGCCGGAAUAUGACGUCAUAUUCCGGCGCCAGUCUCAUUCAGCAGUGCGCGAGGGUGGGAUGGCACUAACACAGGAAGCACCUCUAGUGACCGUCUGAGUGACUGUCACUAGCAGUGUCACUUUGAAGCAAUGUAAACACUGCCUUUUGUCUGAAAAGUCAGUGUUUACGUUGAAAAGCCUGUAGGGACAUGCUAUAGACACCAGUACCACCACAUUAAGCUGUGUGUGUGCAUAUGCUAGUGAGUGAGCUUGCUUGCAUGCGUGUGCCUGCUAGUGAGUGAGCUUGUGUUUUUUAUGUCAGUGAGCUGAUGUAUAUCAGUAAGAUUGUUUGUCUAUGAGGCUGUGUAUCAAUGAGCUUGUGUGUGUCACUGAAAUGUCAGUGAAAUUGCCUGUGUCUGCAUGUGCGUAUGCUUACUGUAUAAUUAAACGUUUUACCCUGAAAGGUCCUAUAUUUUAUAUUAGAAAAAGCAAUAUAUAUAUAUAUAUUUAUUAAUUACUCAAUCAUCUGUCCUGGCAAGACAUAGCCUUACAUAUUACACGCGACAAUAUAUGGCGCAGUGACUUAUGGGACGGGCACACAUUUUUUUUUUCUGGGCUGCUUUGUAUCCCCAGUCCGGCCCUGCCUCCAGGGUCCAUAGAGGCUCCUUCGGAGCGCCCCGCACAUACCAGGAGUUCCAGCCGUUGCCCUUCUUCCCGUCCAGGGGACGUCCAUGGCCUUCUCGGGGAAGCCGCAGACAAUCUACUUACAGACGACCUUACGGUAAGUGCAAUAUCUCUCAUUCCUCCACAUCUACACAUAGGGGGCAGGCUUGCGCUGUUUGCGCAUGCAUGGGACGAGCUCACAAAAGACACUUGGGUGUUACAGACUGUCAGAGGUUUCUAUCUCGACCUUAUAUCUACCCCAUUUCAAAUCCAUGUCCCAAGAGAACUGACAUUGGCCCCAGACCAAACCAAACUCCUAACAAAGGAGAUUACAGACCUCCAUACCAAACGGGCAAUCCAAGAGAUCCCAUACGAUACCCCAGGUUUUACCAGCAACCUAUUUUUGGUAACCAAAAAAGGCGGAGGUAUGCGGCCAGUCAUAAACUUAAAGGAACUCAAUGCGUUCCUCGCAUACCAACACUUCAAAAUGGAAGGCAUUCAUUGCCUCAGGGAUUUAUUACAACAGGGAGAUUGGAUGGUCAAAUUGGACCUCAAGGACGCGUACCUCACCGUCCCUAUUGCAGAGGCACACUGGGACCUCUUGCAUUUCACAUGGCAAGGGCGACGUUGGAGAUUUACAUGUCUGCCCUUCGGUCUGUCGUCAGCGCCCUGGUGCUUCACGAAACUCAUGAAGCCUGUGGUAGCCUUUCUCAGAGCACGAGGAGUUCGUCUGAUCAUAUAUCUGGACGAUAUUUUAAUCAUGGCAUCCUCACAAGACCAAGUACUGCUCCACCUACAGUGGACCAUCACGUUACUCGAGACUCUGGGUUUUUUGAUAAAUUGGGAGAAAUCCAUAACCAAUCCAGUCCAAAAGAUAGAGUUCCUGGGAUUCCAGAUCGACGCAAUCUCACAAUUCUUACUCCUCCCGGACACGAAAUUGAAGGCCAUCAAAAAAGAGAUCAGGCGCACAUUACGAGCUCAAUCUCUCUCUAUUCGGCAACUAGCCCGAGUAUUAGGACUACUGGCUUCCUCGAUACAAGCCAUCUUCCCAGGGCCUCUACACUAUCGUGCCCUACAACGGUUAAAAGGUUCUCACCUCAGGUCCGGCCGUUCAUACGAAUCCGCACUAGUCCUGGAUGUAGAAUCACGGGAGGAGCUGAGGUGGUGGCUAGACCAUAUGGAGGCGUGGAACGGCCGAGCAAUAUUCGGAACCAGCCCGGACCUGAUUAUAGAAUCGGAUGCAAGCCUCCAUGGCUGGGGCGCGCGUUGUGGCAACAUAUCCACCGGUGGCAGAUGGUCCAUGGAGGAAUCCACAAUGCACAUAAAUUGCCUGGAACUUCUGGCAGGAUCGUUCGCCAUCCGCAGUCUCUCCCCUACGGUAGGGAGAUGUUGUAUACUGGACAACAUCUCGGCAGUCCGUUAUAUCAAUCAUCUAGGAGGCACCAAAUCCAAACGACUAGCAAACCUAGCGAAGGAAUUUUGGCAGUUUUGCCUUCAGAACGAGAUUGCGGUGACAGCGGAACACAUUCCGGGCUUAGACAACAUACAAGCGGACUGGAAUUCCAUAUAUCUGCGAGAUCCGGGAGACUGGCGUCUUCUCCGCUCUACCUUUUGCCAAAUAGACGAAUUGUGGGGACCACUGGACGUAGACCUUUUUGCAUCCAGACUGAACAGUCACCUGCCUCGAUACUUCAGCUGGCGACCAGAUCCAACAGCCUCGGGGACGGAUGCUUUCCUACAGACAUGGCCGAAGUCUCGGCAUUACGCAUUUCCCCCUUUCAAUCUCAUUUCCAGGACACUAUCAUACCUAUGCACACAGGACUGUUCACUAGUGAUAGUGGUUCCACUAUGGCACGCUCAGCCGUGGUUUCCUCGACUACUAGAAAUGGCAAUCGACUCUCCACGAGUAAUACCAUCAAAACCAGACUUGCUCUUGGACCCAGAGGGGAAUCCGCACAACCUAAUCAAUCAGGGCCUGCUGCAACUCACGGUCUGGUUGAUUUCCGGAGUCCCUGGACAUUCACAGACAUUCCACAGACGGUUACAAGACUCAUGGACAACCCCUGGGCUCCAGGGACCAGAGCGGCCUAUAACUCUGCAUGGCGAGUGUGGGCUAGCUGGUGCAUGGAACGGUCAGUGGAUCCGGUUUCAGCACCUCUGAAAGAAGUACUGGAGUUUUUGACGUCCCUUUUCGAAGAAGGAAGAGGGUAUCGUACCAUUAACGUGUACAGGUCGGCGAUCUCGGCAGGACACCGAGACCUGGAGGGCUCCCCGAUCGGUCAGCAUCCCUUCGUUUGUAGACUCCUGAAGGGGAUACGCUUUGAGAAACCUCCACAGACCCGCUAUUCUUCAUUCUGGGAUGUCAACAUUGUCUUGCACUUCCUGGAAGAAUGGAUGCCAAAUGAGGAACUCUCCCUUAAACACCUGUCUUGGAAACUGCUGACUCUGUUAUGCUUACUGUCCUGCAAGAGGAUAUCGGACGUGCGAGCCUUGGACUGGGACGCAUUGUCAUUCACCCCAGAGGGCGUAUCAUUCUCCAUAUCGAGACUAACUAAAGGCAAUACAAAAUCUAUCUCUUACCAGAGAUACCUAGGACAUCCUUCACUAUGCCCGGUCAGAUGCCUUCGGUCCUACCUGGAUCGUACUCAGAGGUUACGCUCACCUGAAUCAAAUCAAUUAUUUAUAUCCUUUCGAACCCCUUUUCUACCAGUGUCCACGCCCACGUUAGCUCGUUGGGUCAAGAACCUGUUAGCAUUAACAGGAAUUGACACUUCGAAAUUCUCUGCACACUCGGUGAGAGGCGCGAUGGCAUCCAAGGCAUCAACGAUUGGUUGUCGCCUCGAGGACAUAUUAAAGGCGGCUGAUUGGUCGCAAGUAUCGACGUUCAGAGAAUUCUAUUUUCGGCCAAUUGAAUAUAUCUCUCUUCAGGUAGUGGCCAAGCUUUGAACUAGCAUAAUAUGAGCCUCCGUGUCAUUAAUAAAAUUCCAAGAUUUUACUAGUAACAUGACGUAAAGUCAUGAUUGUAUUAAUGACACGGAGGCAAGUAUUAUCCCCACCCACCAACCCACCCGGUGGGCGUGAUACAGUCUAUAAGGAGAGUCUUAAGACUCUUGCAAAGGUAAGUAACAAGGAAUUUCAAGAGCAUGUACACCAUCCUUUUUAUGUACACACUUAACUUGUUUUACCAGUUUGUUAUAUCAAGUGUAAGGAACAUAAGGAUAACAUACAGUUCCAAAGUUUGGAUCUUACCGUACAUUCUCUUUGUUUCCACAGCGUAACGUACUGGACACUGACUGGGUAGAACACCGGAAGUUAUGGGAGGUUACGGGACUUAUUCCGUUCAAGUUACGACGGCUCUUCGUCGAGACAGACAAGAAAGAGGAAGUUAGAAGACUGUUCAAGACACUUAAUGUUGAUAAAUGUAUAUGAUUGGCUGCCCUGUUACUAGGCAGAUUACUUAUGUUAUUUAGUUUUUUAUUCUCUUUCAAGUUAAAUUCUUGCUGCUGAGGAGAAUAAUAAAAGAAAGAGAAAGCAUAAUACUCGCC
rnacentral:lncRNA from 1 species